rnacentral:rRNA from 1 species
UACGGGGGGGGCAAGCGUUGUUCGGAAUUACUGGGCGUAAAGGGCCAGUAGGCGGCCAACUAAGUCGGAUGUGAAAUCCCCAGGCUCAACUUGGGAACUGCAUCCGAGACUGCAUUGCUGGAGUACGGAAGAGGAAGGCGGAAUUCCCGGUGUAGCGGUGAAAUGCGUAGAUAUCGGGAGGAACAUCAGUGGCGAAGGCGGCCUUCUGGUCCAGUACUGACACUCAAGUGCGAAAGCGUGGGGAGCAAACAGG